rnacentral:sRNA from 1 species
UGUCAACACGAGUUGUUGCUGGUCCUCGAAUGGGGGCAUGUGCACACUCUGUUUGCAUAUCCACUCACACCUGUGCACCCUCCAUAGUUCUGCAGCCCUGGGGGCUCUGUCCCCUGCUGUGGUCCUAUGUAUUUACACACACACACUGUGAUAAAGUCUCAUGGAAUGUAUGCCGCGUUUAACGCAAUACAAUACAACUUUCAGCAACGGAUCUCUUGGCUCUCGCAUCGAUGAAGAACGCAGCGAAAUGCGAUAAGUAAUGUGAAUUGCAGAAUUCAGUGAAUCAUCGAAUCUUUGAACGCACCUUGCGCCCUUUGGCUAUUCCGAAGGGCAUGCCUGUUUGAGUAUCAUGAACACCUCAACUCUCAUGGCUUGCCAUGAUGAGCUUGGACGAUGGGGGUCUUGCUGGCCUGUGGUCAGCUCCUCUCAAAUAAAUCAACUUGCCAGUGUUUGGUGGCGUCACAGGUGUGAUAACUAUCUACGCUUGUGGUUUUCCACUAGGUAACCUUUGGCAACAGAGGUUCGCUGGGGCUUAUAAACGUCUCUCCUCGGUGAGGGACAGCUCUUUGAACGUUUGAUCUCAAA